rfam:Triticum urartu cultivar G1812 contig559676, whole genome shotgun sequence.
GUGUUACUCCCUCCGUCCGAAAAUACUUGUCAUCAAAAUGGAUAAAAAGGGAUGUAUCUAAAACUAAAAUACGUCUAGAUACAUCCACUUUUAUUUAUUUUGAUGACAAGAAUUUCCGGACGGAGGGAGUAUGUG